rnacentral:misc_RNA from 1 species
UCUCCGUAGGUGAACCUGCGGAGGGAUCAUUACGGAGGUCUUGUCCUACCGGGUAGAUCUCCCACCCUAUGCUAUUAUAACUGAGGUGCUUUGGUGAGCCGGUAGGCUUCGGCCCGACAGCCUACCCCGGCUGGUAAGCGCGGCCCAGAGGACCCAAAACCCUGAAUAUUAGUGUCGUCUGAGUACUAUAUAAUAGUUAAAACUUUCAACAACGGAUCUCUUGGUUCUG